UACAGAGACUGCAAGCGUUAUUCGGAUUCACUGGGCGUAAAGGGUGCGCUAGGCGGCCGGGUGUGUCAGAUGUGAAAUCCCGAGGCUUAACCUCGGAACUGCGUCUGAAACUACUCGGCUAGAGUAUUGGAGAGGGUAACGGAAUUCACGGUGUAGCAGUGAAAUGCGUAGAUAUCUGAAGGAACACCCAGUGGCGAAGGCGACUCCCUGGACUCAAACUGACGCUGAGGCACGAAAGCGU
rnacentral:rRNA from 1 species